rnacentral:rRNA from 1 species
AGCGAACGCUGGCGGCAGGCUUAACACAUGCAAGUCGAGCGGGCACUUCGGUGUCAGCGGCAGACGGGUGAGUAACACGUGGGAACGUACCCUUUGGUUCGGAAUAACGCUGGGAAACUAGCGCUAAUACCGGAUACGCCCUUUUGGGGAAAGGCUUGCUGCCGAAGGAUCGGCCCGCGUCUGAUUAGCUAGUUGGUGGGGUAAUGGCCAACCAAGGCGACGAUCAGUAGCUGGUCUGAGAGGAUGAUCAGCCACACUGGGACUGAGACACGGCCCAGACUCCUACGGGAGGCAGCAGUGGGGAAUAUUGGACAAUGGGCGCAAGCCUGAUCCAGCCAUGCCGCGUGAGUGAUGAAGGCCUUAGGGUUGUAAAGCUCUUUUGUCCGGGACGAUAAUGACGGUACCGGAAGAAUAAGCCCCGGCUAACUUCGUG